GAUGAACGCUGGCGGCGUGCCUAAUACAUGCAAGUCGAGCGAGCGGACGAGAAGCUUGCUUCUCUGAUGUUAGCGGCGGACGGGUGAGUAACACGUGGAUAACCUACCUAUAAGACUGGGAUAACUUCGGGAAACCGUAGCUAAUACCGGAUAAUAUUUUGAACCGCAUGGUUCAAAAGUGAAAGACGGUCUUGCUGUCACUUAUAGAUGGAUCCGCGCUGCAUUAGCUAGUUGGUAAGGUAACGGCUUACCAAGGCAACGAUGCACAGCCGACCUGAGAGGGUGAUCGGCCACACUGGAACUGAGACACGGUCCAGACUCCUACGGGAGGCAGCAGUAGGGAAUCUUCCGCAAUGGGCGAAAGCCUGACGGAGCAACGCCGCGUGAGUGAUGAAGGUCUUCGGAUCGUAAAACUCUGUUAUUAGGGAAGAACAUAUGUGUAAGUAACUGUGCACAUCUUGACGGUACCUAAUCAGAAAGCCACGGCUAACUACGUG
rnacentral:rRNA from 1 species